rnacentral:rRNA from 1 species
ACCUGCUCAAUGAUUAAAUUAAAUAGCCGCAAUUUCUGUGCUAAGGUAGCAUAAUCAUUAGUUUCUUAAUUAGAAAAUAGAAUGAAUGGUUAAACGAAAUAAUGACUGUUUCUAAAAUGCCAAAUGAAUUUAAAUCAAAAGUCAAAAUUCUUUUAAACCCAAGAAAGACGAUAAGACCCUAUAAACUUAUUAUUUAGCUGGGGCGGCUCAUUAAAAAAACCUUAAUUUUAAUAACAACACACAUCUGAUAAUUUAAUUAAUCCAACAAGAAAAGUUACUUUAGGGAUAACAGCGCUACUUUUUUUCAAAGUUCUAAUAGAAAAAAUUCCUACGACCUCGAUGUUGAAUUAUAAACCCUUUUGGCGCAAAAGCUAAACAAGGUGGUCUGUUCGACCAUUAAAAAUAU